ACUCAAAUGAAUUGACGGGGGCCCGCACAAGCGGCGGAGCAUGUGGCUUAAUUCGAUGCAACGCGAAGAACCUUACCAAGGCUUGACAUCGCCGGUGAUCCCCCGGAGACGGGGGAGUCCUUUACGGGGCCGGUGACAGGUGGUGCAUGGUUGUCGUCAGCUCGUGUCGUGAGAUGUUGGGUUAAGUCCCGCAACGAGCGCAACCCUCGUCUCGUGUUGCCAUCAGGUAAUGCUGGGGACUCGCGAGAGACUGCCGGGGUCAACUCGGAGGAAGGUGGGGAUGACGUCAAAUCAUCAUGCCCCUUAUGUCUUGGGCUGCACACAUGCUACAAUGGCCGGUACAAAGGGCUGCGAUACCGCGAGGUGGAGCGAAUCCCAAAAAGCCGGUCUCAGUUCGGAUCGGGGUCUGCAACUCGACCCCGUGAAGUCGGAGUCGCUAGUAAUCGCAGAUCAGCAACGCUGCGGUGAAUACGUUCCCGGGCCUUGCACACACCGCCCGU
rnacentral:rRNA from 1 species